UUGCACCUUUUAAGCCUGAUUUAUGGUUCUGUGGAGGCUCCACGCACAGCUUUCGCCGUAGCCUAUGUAAGUGGCCUGAAAUUUAUACUUGUUCGUUGGUGUGUGCGUUGACAUCUUUAACAAAAGUAGCAGGGCCGGCAUGUGUGUUUGCGUGGGAAUGUGUGGUAGAGCAAGACAGAGAGUGAAGGCCAUUAGCUUUGGAGCGAGUGCCGACUCUACAGUCAUAGUGAGAGAAACAAAGUGUCUCCCCUGUGCUUUCUGACCACGGUCGGUAAUAUGUUGUAGGAAAAGUUAACCAUCUCCUUGAUUUCAUGUUGUUUAUCAAGAAGGAGAACCCGGAAAUGAGUACCCACGAGGUGCACGUCAGGCUAGGCCGUUGGGUCCGGCCAUAGGGUCGUGCCUCCACGUAUCUACAUACAUAGCCACGGCGUAGAUUUAACGCAGAAGUAUAAAUUGUGCUUUAACAGGGUCCAAAGAAUGGUCCAACUAAACCCUGGUGAAGACUACACAAUUUCUUUUCCACAAUUUGCCUGUCCCGGACAAAUUUCUGAGAUUUGAGACAAAAACCCUUUCAGACGGUACAGAAUCUGUGCUCAUGCCCAUCAUAUGGGGUUUUCUCCGUUUAAGCUGCUAGGAGACACAUCUUUACCUUAUUGUGAGCCGUCUGAUUUUAUUCCAAAAAACAAGAUGCAUUUGAUG